UGGGUCAGCAGAAGCUGAGACAGUGGAAAUAAAGCAAAUAACAAAGGAUUUUAUUGAUAGUUAAAAAUUGUGGUGAUAAUAUAUAAGCAAUUUUUGAGAUAAUAUUUUGUUUAAAGUGUAAGGAUUGAAUAUUUUUGAAUUUUUCAAAGAAAAAAAAUUAAGACUUAGCCUUGUGAAUGAAAAUGACAAUAAUCUUGAUAUGCUCAGUUGUAAAGGAAUUUUGAAUGCUACAUUAUGACCUUGGACAAGAAGAUAAAUACCAAUAUCAUAAAAAUUCAGGAUAUGUCUCAAACUGGUGUAAAAAGAAUGGGAGAGGAGGAGACAAGGAUAUCAACGAUGCCGCAUAACUCAAAGCAGAUCAGUUAUGCUUGGAAUAAAAAUGAAAACAACUGGCUGAACAGAAAACAUUUACAGUGAAAUAAAAUGAAAUAAUUUGCCAUGGAUUAAAACAAUACAAUAGCAGUGCAAUAAAAAUAUAUCUCGUG